UCUUUUAAUUGAAGGCUGGUAUGAAUGGUUGGACGAAAUAUUAACUGUUUCAUGUAAAUUUUUAUAGAAUUUUAUUUUUUAGUUAAAAAGCUAAAAUUUAUUUAAAAGACGAGAAGACCCUAUAAAUCUUGAUAAUUUAUUUUUUAUAAUAAUAAAGAAUAAUUUUUUUAUAAAAAAUUAAAUUAUUUUAUUGGGGUGAUAUUAAAAUUUAAAUAACUUUUAAUUAUUUAAAACAUUAAUUUAUGAAUAUUUGAUCCAGUUUUAUUGAUUAGAAAAUUAAGUUACUUUAGGGAUAACAGCGUAAUUUUUUUGGAGAGUUCAUAUCGAUAAAAAAGAUUGCGACCUCGAUGUUGGAUUAAGAGAUAAAUUUGGGUGUAGCUGUUCAAAUAAUUAAGUCUGUUCGACUUUUAAAUUCUUACGUGAUCUGAGUUCA
rnacentral:rRNA from 1 species